rnacentral:rRNA from 1 species
GACGAACGCUGGCGGCGUGCCUAAUACAUGCAAGUCGAACGAACCGCGACUAAGUGCUUGCACUAAGUCAAGGCGAGUGGCGAACGGGUGAGUAACACGUGGGUAACCUACCUCAUAGUGGGGGAUAACAGUCGGAAACGACUGCUAAUACCGCAUAGGACAUAGGAUCACAUGAUCCAGUGAGGAAAGGUGGCGCAAGCUAUCGCUAAGAGAUGGACCCGCGGUGCAUUAGCUAGUUGGUAGGGUAAAGGCCUACCAAGGCGAUGAUGCAUAGCCGACCUGAGAGGGUGAUCGGCCACAUUGGGACUGAGACACGGCCCAAACUCCUACGGGAGGCAGCAGUAGGGAAUCUUCCGCAAUGGACGCAAGUCUGACGGAGCAACGCCGCGUGAGUGAAGAAGGUCUUCGGAUCGUAAAGCUCUGUUGUUAGAGAAGAACAGCGCAUAGAGUAACUGCUAUGCGUGUGACGGUAUCUAACCAGAAAGCCACGGCUAACUACGUG